rnacentral:siRNA from 1 species
AUAAUCAUGUGGCCUAUUUCACCA